AAGUCAUGUUGAGGGCAAUGUUGUAAUAAUCUCUUGUAACGUUCCCAACCUCCAUAUAGCGACUCCCCCUCUAGUUGUUGAAAAUUCAAUAUGUUUCUUUUUAGCUU